UUCCUCUUGAGCCACCAGGUAGUCUUGAGGUCUCCAUCAGGAUGAUUCCUACGGACUGCCCCAGGGAUGCUCCUAUUUGCUCAAGUUGGUGUCCUCCAACACCCUCAUUCCCAUCUCCGCCUUCUCUGAACUCCAGGACGCAUUCCUCAGCCUUUGCUGAGAACCUCUGAAUCCGUUCUCAGCCACAUCAGACAACCGAGCUGACUGGCUCGCCCAAGCUACUGCUUUCUUCAGCAAAGACUAGGCGUUCUGAUCGGAUUCGGAAAAAAAAAAAAAAAUGCUUUUGACCUAACAGAACAAAUCGAGCUCUCGAGCUGGGAACAUUUCGGAACUCCGAGUGCCAACUUCCGAAGAUGCCCCGGCUAUGACUACAUUUCCCAGAAGCCUUCGGGUACGAACUACGUUUCCCAGAAGUCUCCGGAGCGCAGCGCUUUUGGGCACUGGGCGAGUUUGCAGGCGGAGGGCGUUUUCUAGGACCAGGUUCCCGGCUAUGCAGUAUUUUCCCCCGCUCUCGUUUCCCAUUAGCCUCCGUAUCCACACACACGUCGGACUCUGGGGUCCUUUUCCACUGCCCUCGAGUUCUUGGACGAGAGACUUAGACUGUAGCUUCCUGGCCAUCAUGUUGACCAAAGGAGAAUCUUGA
rnacentral:lncRNA from 1 species